UACAAGGACAUUUCAAUUUCUCGUCUUCC
rnacentral:piRNA from 1 species